rnacentral:rRNA from 1 species
UGGGGAAUUUUGGACAAUGGGGGAAACCCUGAUCCAGCCAUCCCGCGUGUGCGAUGAAGGCCUUCGGGUUGUAAAGCACUUUUGGCAGGAAAGAAACGUCAUGGGUUAAUACCCCGUGAAACUGACGGUACCUGCAGAAUAAGCACCGGCUAACUACGUGCUAGCAGCCGCGGUAAUACGUAGGGUGCAAGCGUUAAUCGGAAUUACUGGGCGUAAAGCGUGCGCAGGCGGUUCGGAAAGAAAGAUGUGAAAUCCCAGAGCUCAACUUGGGAACUGCAUUUUUAACUACCGGACUAGAGUGUGUCAGAGGGAGGUGGAAUUCCGCGUGUAGCAGUGAAAUGCGUAGAUAUGCGGAGGAACACCGAUGGCGAAGGCAGCCUCCUGGGAUAACACUGACGCUCAUGCACGAAAGCGUGGGGAGCAAACAGG